AGGAGGAGAGACGCGGAAAUGGAUCGAUAAGACAUCAUCCUGAUAUGUAUGUUAUUGUGUUUGUUUGUUUGUUUGUUUGUUUGUUCCUUUCU
rnacentral:ribozyme from 14 species